rnacentral:rRNA from 1 species
GAUGAACGCUGGCGGCGUGCCUAAUACAUGCAAGUCGAGCGAACGGACGAGAAGCUUGCUUCUCUGAUGUUAGCGGCGGACGGGUGAGUAACACGUGGAUAACCUACCUAUAAGACUGGGAUAACUUCGGGAAACCGGAGCUAAUACCGGAUGAUAUUUUGAACCGCAUGGUUCAAAAGUGAAAGACGGUCUUGCUGUCACUUAUAGAUGGAUCCGCGCUGCAUUAGCUAGUUGGUAAGGUAACGGCUUACCAAGGCAACGAUGCAUAGCCGACCUGAGAGGGUGAUCGCCCACACUGGAACUGAGACACGGUCCAGACUCCUACGGGAGGCAGCAGUAGGGAAUCUUCCGCAAUGGGCGAAAGCCUGACGGAGCAACGCCGCGUGAGUGAUGAAGGUCUUCGGAUCGUAAAACUCUGUUAUUAGGGAAGAACAUAUGUGUAAGUAACUGUGCACAUCUUGACGGUACCUAAUCAGAAAGCCACGGCUAACUACGUG